rnacentral:rRNA from 1 species
GAUGAACGCUGGCGGCGUGCCUAAUACAUGCAAGUCGGGCGAACAGAUAAGGAGCUUGCUCCUUUGACGUUAGCGGCGGACGGGUGAGUAACACGUGGGUAACCUACCUAUAAGACUGGAAUAACUCCGGGAAACCGGGGCUAAUGCCGGAUAACAUUUAGAACCGCAUGGUUCUAAAGUGAAAGAUGGUUUUGCUAUCACUUAUAGAUGGACCCGCGCCGUAUUAGCUAGUUGGUAAGGUAACGGCUUACCAAGGCAACGAUACGUAGCCGACCUGAGAGGGUGAUCGGCCACACUGGAACUGAGACACGGUCCAGACUCCUACGGGAGGCAGCAGUAGGGAAUCUUCCGCAAUGGGCGAAAGCCUGACGGAGCAACGCCGCGUGAGUGAUGAAGGUCUUCGGAUCGUAAAACUCUGUUAUUAGGGAAGAACAAAUGUGUAAGUAACUGUGCACGUCUUGACGGUACCUAAUCAGAAAGCCACGGCUAACUACGUG